GCUGAGUGUGGUGGCCCACGCCUGUAGUCCCAGCUACUCAGGAGGCUGAGGCGAGAGGAUCACUUGAGCCAGGGAAUUCGAGAUGGCAGUGAGCUAUGAUCGUGCCACUGCACCCUAGCCUGGGCAACAAAGUGAGACCUUGUCUCUA
ensembl:misc_RNA Metazoa_SRP Metazoan signal recognition particle RNA